CCCACAGGGGAUCCUAAUAUCGGGAGGAAGGCCUUAAACGAUUCGACAGGCUUGUGUCCAAAAAUAGCUUUCAGGAAACACAAUUUAAUGUUCCACAAGCUGUUUGAAGAUAUCCCCGAGACGGAGACGCUGACAGCAACCUUCACCUGCUACCUGCAGAAAGAGUUGAUCUUACCAUGGAAGGGUGUUUGUGUCCGAGGACCAUAUCUGUUUCCUACUCCUCUGUGCUUCUGAAACACAUUAAGGUGGUGAUUGCUGCAUCUAGGGUUUGUCAUGUGAAGAAACACAAGGCCCCCGUGCCCAUGCUUUCCAUUCACACCUUUGAUGGCGCCAAGUACAACUUGAUGUACGUAAAACACAGCAAGACCUGCUAUGAGCUCCUGGAAUCGGUGUGUCUGCACAUGGAG